rnacentral:rRNA from 1 species
UACGUAGGGUGCGAGCGUUGUCCGGAAUUACUGGGCGUAAAGAGCUCGUAGGUGGUUUGUCGCGUUGUUCGUGAAAACCGGGGGCUUAACCCUCGGCGUGCGGGCGAUACGGGCAGACUGGAGUACUGCAGGGGAGACUGGAAUUCCUGGUGUAGCGGUGAAAUGCGCAGAUAUCAGGAGGAACACCGGUGGCGAAGGCGGGUCUCUGGGCCGUAACUGACGCUGAGGAGCGAAAGCGUGGGGAGCGAACAGG